UACCUGGCACAGGUUUUACAAAGAAAAUAUGGUCAAGAUAUCAUUGUAUAUACAAUAUUUCAUAGCGUGGCUAGAAAACUUGGUCUAAGUUGCGAUGUACUAUAUAUUGAAGAUAAAUUCUGUAUAUUUUGGAAACCAGAAUUCGUCACGAAUAAUUUAGAAAAUGCAAGAUGUUUUUACAUAAAAGACGAGAAAUUCCCGAAUUGUCUUCAUGAUUGUCUACAAGAAUACAAGUCUUAUAAAACAUAUAAUGACGUCAACAAAAUAGAAACUGAACAGAUAUUGACCAUGAUAAGAACUUUAGUUAUAAAAGACCAUCAAAUAAACGAUUUGAUGUUAGUCAAAGUGAAAUGUAAUAUGUAAGAAACAUACGCGCACUAAUGUAAUUGCAUAUUAGUAUAUAACAUAUACCAUUGUAAAAUAAAGAACAUUGUGAGAUAUUUUCAGAUAACAUUAUGUAUAAUUUACAAUUUUCUAUAAUUUAACGUGUUUUGAGUGUUUAUUGAGACAUUUAUUCACAAAAAAUCAAUUAAAGUAAAAAUUUUACAGUUUCUGUCUUAUUUUAAAUAGUAUAACACAUAAAUGAAAACGUGAAAUAUGCUGUAGAAAUUGUCAUAAUAUAUAAUCCUACAGAAUAAUCUACAGAUUCGAACCAACAUAAUAGAUAAUAGGAUGUUAUUGACAUAUACAUAUAUACAUACAUGUUCGACAAUUGAGA